UGUUUUUCCAAAAGACAGCUAUGGUGGACAGGUGGAAGUGUGGGGUUUCGAGCCACUCUGAUAGCUAACAAUUAUUGAAACAAACAAGGGACCCCGAUACUGUCAAGGUUGCUAGGCAACAGGAGCGGCGCUGCUUGACAUAGGGCAUCACGACUUCAGAUAAAUCCUGAUCGACCUUCAGGAUCGUGACUCACAAAGCAACUUGCUUGCAGCUGGUGGACAUCUCAAAUCCUCAGCUUGUAAAAGCAAAACCUGCACGGCUGAGAUCUGGAGCAAUGCCAUUUUCAUUUUACACUCAAUCGCUCGGUGAAUGGAGCAUUUGGCUCCAUCUGCUGCAGUUUGUCUGGACUAUAGCACACACUUUUUGGAUGCAGUUCUCCAACACAGAAGAAAUCCAUGGCAAUGUGUUAAGCAAAUAAACAAAUGCACUUC